rnacentral:lncRNA from 1 species
GCCACAGUUAAACAAAACUAAUGCUUAAACUUCUCUACCCUUGAGACAGUAGGGUAAUGUACCAUUUAUGCCUCUACAAUAACACACCUUGGAGACCAACUGUAAGAGACCAGCUCUCAAAAUGGGCACUUCUGUGGUUCCAACAUGCUAUAUUUCCUUAAGCAAAUUCUCCAGAAAUUCAACUCUUAACACACUAAAUUACACAAAAGCAAAACACGAAAAUUACCCUCAAGUAGUCUGCAAUUAAAAUUUUGCGUUUUUCUAGUUAUGAAUGCAAAAAGUAUUUUUGUGCCUUUGUGUUCAUUUGAAGACAAUAAUCUGUUAAAAUUUCUAUGAAAAGAAGAGUGGGUCCCUAAAAGAUCACUUAAGUCAGUGAAAUUUAAAGCGCAUUUUAAAUAACUGCUAUUUUUAUCCAACGAUUCAUCCCACUUAAUCACCAUUAUAACUAAACAAUACGUAACGUGCCUCUUCUAAUCAAGACUUAAGGGGAUACAGAGAGGGAAACGGGAGGGAGACAGAAUUUAAAUAAGUAAUAUCUCAUCAGAUCCAUUUGAUUUUUAACUAGCGAAGAAAAAGUCAUUUUCCAGAUAUGGUGAGGGAGAGAAUUUUUUUUAACUCUGCGACUACUUCGUAAAGCCCAAGGUCAUGAUGUA